rnacentral:tRNA from 3 species
GGAGAGGUGUCAGAGUGGUCGAAUGUGCCGCUUUCGAAAAGCGGUGUUCGGGAAACCGAACCGCGGGUUCAAAUCCCGCCCUCUCCG